rnacentral:rRNA from 1 species
CAACCUGCCCACCACUUGGGGAUAACCUUGCGAAAGUAAGACUAAUACCCAAUGAUAUCUCUAGAAGACAUCUGAAAGAGAUUAAAGAUUUAUCGGUGAUGGAUGGGGAUGCGUCUGAUUAGCUUGUUGGCGGGGUAACGGCCCACCAAGGCAACGAUCAGUAGGGGUUCUGAGAGGAAGGUCCCCCACAUUGGAACUGAGACACGGUCCAAACUCCUACGGGAGGCAGCAGUGAGGAAUAUUGGUCAAUGGGCGAGAGCCUGAACCAGCCAAGUAGCGUGCAGGAUGACGGCCCUAUGGGUUGUAAACUGCUUUUAUAAGGGAAUAAAGUGAGAGUCGUGACUCUUUUUGCAUGUACCUUAUGAAUAAGGACCGGCUAAUUCCGUGCCAGCAGCCGCGGUAAUACGGAAGGUCCGGGCGUUAUCCGGACUUAUUGGGUUUAAAGGGAGCGUAGGCCGGAGAUUAAGCGUGUUGUGAAAUGUAGAUGCUCAACAUCUGAACUGCAGCGCGAACUGGUUUCCUUGAGUACGCACAAAGUGGGCGGAAUUCGUGGUGUAGCGGUGAAAUGCUUAGAUAUCACGAAGAACUCCGAUUG